CUUUCAGACCUUUAAUCUCUGUAUAUAGAGAUAUAGAAAUAGAGAAUAUUCUUUAAAUAUCUGAACAUUUAAGUAUUACUCAUCCCAAUACAAUAUAUACUUAUACAAAUAGAUAUAUGUAUGUAUACUAUACAUAAAGAUCUGAGGUACUAAAUAUUCCAUGGUUUUUUUUCAUUCAACAAUGUAUUAUGAAUGCCUUUCAAUAGCCAUACUUUAAUAGUUGCAUAGUAUCACGUUGCAUAAACAUAUUAGGUCAGUGCAUAAGUAAUUGCACUUUUUACCAUUUUAAUGGCAAAUGAGGCACUGAUUAAUCAGUGCCUUAUUUUUCACAACUACAAAAAUAUUGCUGUGAGAUCCUUGAAAAUGUAUAAUUGCCCAUUUGCAUGUUUCUUUAAAUUUAUAGAUAAGGAAUUACUGGGGCAAAAAGUGUGCACAAUUUAAAUUUGAUGUUUUUGUUUUUGCCAAGCUGCUUUUUAAGAAGGUUGUACUAAUGCACACUUUUAUCUUGACACUAAGAUUUUAAAUAUGAUCAGAAAAUGGGUUUCUGAUAGUAAAACUGUCUACUUGUAAUAAUUGUGGCAUUAGAAAAGACCUUUGUGGCUUCGUUCCUCAAACUCAUUUACGAAUUAUAAAUCUGAAUUCCAAAUAUGAAUUAACUCACACAAGAUAAAGCUUUAACAGUUAGUAGCAGUACUGUAACUAGAGUGCAUGUUUUCUGUCUCCAGAAAUAACAUUCUUUUUAUGCCACAUUUUUUUAACUGAGGUGAUCAUUCUCCACCCUCUUCUUUCCAUGUUUUUCCAUGUUUGUUCAAACUUUUCAUUAAAUAUCUUGAGGCUCUAACUAAAUUAAGGGUGGCCAUUAAAAUUGUAUGUGGGAUUCCCUGAACCAACUGGUAAUGCACUACCAGCAUAUAAGGUGUCCUCAUUAAAGCAGUUGGUGAUUGGUACAUGGGACCUCACUCAUGUAUGUUUGCAUCUACUUGUGAGUCAAAAAGUUUUCUUAAAGUAUAGGUGGGAUCAUGAAAGACAUACAAUUCACUGGAGAAAUUGUGAAAAAGUAAAAGAUUAUGAAUUUAGGCUCAAAGCCAAUUUCCCUCUCAUUUAAUUCUACAUGAGCAAGUCAAGGAGUUUGGUAGAGCUUUAUGAAAUCUCUAAAGAUUGAAGGAAAACAAUCACUAAAAUCGAUUUGAUAAAGUGCAACUAAGUAGUAUGCUAGCCUGUUAAUGGAUUUUCAUCUUGUCAUUUAAGUUUCAGCAAUUGAGUACCACACUAGAACACCCACAAAUGAGAUUCUGUUACAGAGUAUCUUUUUUCUACUACAGAACAUACUGUAGACAGUUAUUCAGUGGUUAACUUGUGGAAAUAAUCAGAAGAUGCUUUUCACUUUUAUGACUGGAUAUAUUUUAAUAUUUAUCAUAUUAAGAGAAACUUAGGUUACUUACAGCUCAUAAACGUUGCUAUGAACAUCAUUCAUUUAUUCACUUAUUUAUUUUUAUGGUGUUCCUAGAAAGAAUUUCCUGGACUAAAGGAUUUAUGCUUUAAAAAUAUUGGUAGUUACUGCCAAGAAUUGCCAUCCAGAAACAGUGUAGCCAUUCAUAAACUCAACAACAAGGUAUGAGAGUGCCUGUUUCCUCAUAUCCUUUGUGACACCGGAUUUUAUCAAGCUUAAAGUUUUUUCAUUCUAGGUGGGUGAAAAUGGUAUUCCGUUAUUGAUAAUGUGUGGAAAUCAAGUUCUAAUAAGUUUGGGGGGAGGUUAAUUCUUUAUAUGUGCUGUAUGAAUUAAUGCCAACUGUAUGCCUUUGAGAGUGAAAUCAGAAUAAUGUCUCUCCACUAAAGCAGGACUUAGAGCACUAGUUUUCCAAAUGUUGUCUACAGAUGGAAACACUAGCAUCACCUGGGUACUCGUUAGAAAGUGCAGAUUCUCUGGCGGUACCUUAGACCUCCUGAAUUAGAAACUCUGGGGGUAGGGUUAGACAUUUGUGUUUUAAACAAGCCCUCCAAGUGGUUUCAAUGCACAUUCAAAGUUGAGAACCAAUCACUGAUAGAGAAAAAGCAGCUUGGGUAGAAACAGUUGAUUAUUUGCAAAUUUAUAUUUUAAAAAGAUAGGAUUCUUAACAGUAAGCUCUUUAUAAUUCAACAAUGUGAUCUUUACUCCUACCCCCGAAAAACUAAUAUGAUUUUAGUGUGUGGUAGCUGGAUCGAAAACAUAAUAAAUACUCAGAUAUGCAAAG
rnacentral:lncRNA from 1 species